rnacentral:rRNA from 1 species
UACGUAGGGGGCAAGCGUUGUCCGGAAUUAUUGGGCGUAAAGAGCUCGUAGGCGGUUUGGUAAGUCGGGUGUGAAAUCUCCACGCUCAACGUGGAGGGGCCACUCGAUACUGCCAUGACUCGAGUCCGGUAGAGGAGUGUGGAAUUCCCGGUGUAGCGGUGAAAUGCGCAGAUAUCGGGAGGAACACCCGUAGCGAAGGCGGCACUCUGGGCCGGAACUGACGCUGAGGAGCGAAAAGCGUGGGGAGCAAACAGG